CCUACGGGAGGCAGCAGUAAGGAAUCUUCCGCAAUGGGCGAAAGCCUGACGGAGCAACGCCGCGUGGGCGAUGAAGGCCUUCGGGUCGUAAAGCCCUUUUCUGUGGGACGAUAAUGACGGUACCACAGGAAUAAGCCACGGCUAACUACGUGCCAGCAGCCGCGGUAAUACGUAGGUGGCUAGCGUUAUCCGGAUUCACUGGGCGUAAAGAGCGCGUAGGCGGUGUGCUAAGUUGGACGUGAAAGCCCCCGGCGUAACCAGGGGAGUUCGUCCAUUACUGGUGCACUUGAGGGUGGACGGGGAAAGCGGAAUUCCCGGUGUAGUGGUGAAAUGCGUAGAUAUCGGGAGGAACACCAGUGGCGAAGGCGGCCUUCUGGGCCUACCCUGACGCUGAGGCGCGAAAGCGUGGGAAGCAAACCGGAUUAGAUCCCCGGGUAGU
rnacentral:rRNA from 1 species